rnacentral:rRNA from 1 species
UGCAUAUUCCAAAAGCGGAGGAAAAGAAACCAACAGGGAUUGCCCUAGUAACGGCGAGUGAACAGGCAAAAGCUCAGAUUUGAAAGCCCUUCGGGGCAUUGUAUUCUGAAGCCUUGGUCCUGGGAACCGGUGCUUAAGUCUCCUGGAAAGGAGCGCCAUGGAGGGUGAUAGCCCCGUAUAGCACUGACCCCAUUGUAGGACUUUGGCGUGGAGUCGAGUUGUUUGGGAAUGCAGCUCAAAUGGGUGGUAUGCUCCAUCUAAAGCUAAAUAUCUGCGAGAGACCGAUAGCGAACAAGUACUGUGAAGGAAAGAUGAAAAGAACUUUGAAAAGAGAGUGAAAUAGUACGUGAAAUUGUUGAAAUGGAAGGGUAGGCCGCUAACCACGUAGAGUCGUGUCUGGGGGAAGGAUAAAAGCUGUAGAAUGUAGCUCUUCGGAGUAUUAUAGCUACAGUUCAUACUUCCAUCCGGGCGCGAGGACCUAAGACUCUGCUAAAUGGUGGUCUACCACCCGUCUUGAACCACGGACCCAACCGUUUAGCAGAAGUCUUAGGUUCUCGCGCCGGGAUGGAAGAUAUGAACUGUAGCUAUAAUACUCGAGAGCUACAUUCUAGCUUUUAUCAUCAGACAC